AACGAACGCUGGCGGCAGGCUUAACACAUGCAAGUCGAGCGCCCCGCAAGGGGAGCGGCAGACGGGUGAGUAACGCGUGGGAACGUACCCUUUGCUACGGAAUAGCUCCGGGAAACUGGAAUUAAUACCGUAUGUGCCCUACGGGGGAAAGAUUUAUCGGCAAAGGAUCGGCCCGCGUUGGAUUAGCUAGUUGGUGGGGUAAUGGCCUACCAAGGCGACGAUCCAUAGCUGGUCUGAGAGGAUGAUCAGCCACAUUGGGACUGAGACACGGCCCAAACUCCUACGGGAGGCAGCAGUGGGGAAUAUUGGACAAUGGGCGCAAGCCUGAUCCAGCCAUGCCGCGUGAGUGAUGAAGGCCUUAGGGUUGUAAAGCUCUUUCACCGGAGAAGAUAAUGACGGUAUCCGGAGAAGAGGCCCCGGCUAACUCGUGCCAGCCGCCGCGGUAAUAC
rnacentral:rRNA from 1 species